rnacentral:rRNA from 1 species
GACGUAGGGCGCGAGCGUUGUCCGGAUUUAUUGGGCGUAAAGAGCUCGUAGGCGGCUUGUUGCGUCGACUGUGAAAACCCGCGGCUUAACUGCGGGCUUGCAGUUGAUACGGGCAGGCUAGAGUUCGGUAGGGGAGACUGGAAUUCUCGGUGUAGCGGUGAAAUGCGUAGAUAUCGAGAGGAACACCUGCGGCGAAGGCGGGUAGCUGGGCCGACACUGACGCUGAGGCGCGAAAGCCAGGGGAGCGAACGGG